CACAAGCUUGGAGAGUAUCAGCUGGUGUAGACAAGUACACAAGCUUGGAGAGUAUCAGCUGGUGUAGGCAAGUACACAAGCUUGGAGAGUAUCAGCUGGCAGUACACAAGCUUGGAGAGUAUCAGCUGGUGUAGGCAAGUACACAAGCUUGGAGAGUAUCAGCUGGUGUAGGCAAGUACACAAGCUUGGAGAGUAUCAGCUGGUGUAGGCAAGUACACAAGCUUGGAGAGUAUCAGCUGGUGUAGGCAAGUACACAAGCUUGGAGAGUAUCAGCUGGCAAGUACACAAGCUUGGAGAGUAUCAGCUGGUGUAGGCAAGUACACAAGCUUGGAGAGUAUCAGCUGGUGUAGGCAAG